UACGUAGGGAGCGAGCGUUAUCCGGAUUUAUUGGGCGUAAAGCGUGCGUAGGCGGUUUAUUAAGUUUAAGAUAAAAGCCCGGGGCUCAACUCCGGUUCGUCUUAAAAACUGGUAGACUUGAGUGUGGUAGAGGUAAAUGGAAUUUCUAGUGUAGCGGUGAAAUGCGUAGAUAUUAGAAGGAACACCAGUGGCGAAGGCGAUUUACUGGGCCAUAACUGACGCUGAGGCACGAAAGCGUGGGGAGCAAAUAGG
rnacentral:rRNA from 1 species